CAGUCGCCGCGGGAAUACGUAGGGUGCGAGCGUUAAUCGGAACUACUGGGCGUAAAGCGUGCGCAGGCGGUUGUGUAAGACAGGUGUGAAAUCCCCGGGCUUAACCUGGGAACUGCGCUUGUGACUGCACAGCUAGAGUAUGGCAGAGGGGGGUGGAAUUCCACGUGUAGCAGUGAAAUGCGUAGAGAUGUGGAGGAACACCGAUGGCGAAGGCAGCCCCCUGGGCCAAUACUGACGCUCAUGCACGAAAGCGUGGGGAGCAAACAGGAUUAGAUACCCGGGUAGUCCCUGUCUCUUAUAC
rnacentral:rRNA from 1 species